rnacentral:rRNA from 2 species
ACUUACAGAUGGACCCGCGGCGCAUUAGCUAGUUGGUGAGGUAACGGCUCACCAAGGCGACGAUGCGUAGCCGACCUGAGAGGGUGAUCGGCCACACUGGGACUGAGACACGGCCCAGACUCCUACGGGAGGCAGCAGUAGGAAUCUUCCGCAAUGGACGAAAGUCUGACGGAGCAACGCCGCGUGAGUGAUGAAGGUUUUCGGAUCGUAAAGCUCUGUUGUUAGGGAAGAACAAGUGCCGUUCAAAUAGGGCGGCACCUUGACGGUACCUAACCAGAAAGCCACGGCUAACUACGUGCCAGCAGCCGCGUAAUACGUAGGUGGCAAGCGUUGUCCGGAUUAUUGGGCGUAAAGGGCUCGCAGGCGGUUUCUUAAUUCUGAUGUGAAAGCCCCCGGCUCAACCGGGGAGGGUCAUUGGAAACUGGGGAACUUGAGUGCAGAAGAGGAGAGUGGAAUUCCACGUGUAGCGGUGAAAUGCGUAGAGAUGUGGAGGAACACCAGUGGCGAAGGCGACUCUCUGGUCUGUAACUGACGCUG